CCAAACCCAUUUACUUUGAACCCUAAUAACCUACAGCACAAUAUAUAAUGUAAACAUUCGUCAGCUCCUUUCUCUCUCAGUCUCCGUCUCUGCCUCCCAUCCUCUGCAUCUCUCAGUCUCCGUCUCCGUCUCUGCAUCUCUCUCUCAGUCUCACCAUCUCAUCUCUCAGUCUCCGUCCCUGCCUCCCAUCCUCUGCAUCUCUCAGUCUCCGUCUCUGCCUCCCAGAGAAGAAGAGCUAAGCCUGAGACUGCUUUCCUCUCGGGAAAUAAUUAUGGUACGGCUGCCUUCUGCCAAGCUUGCCUUCAGAUGCAACUUAUGAUAUAACUUCGGGAAUCAACUUCAUUUGUGAUCUUAAUGACAACAUUACGGCUCCGUGGCCCUCUUCCUCUUCUGAACAUCCAUCAUCAAUUUGCCGAGUUCUUUAAUACCAUCAUUAACAAUGGUGGCUGAAUAUUUGAGUUGGGAAUGUGAUGUUGUAUUUGAGUUAGGAAUGUGAUGUUGUUUAGUAAACGGGUUACAAAUGGGUCGUGUCGUGUCAACCUGUUUAUAAACAGGUUGGGUUUGGGUUUGCAUUUCCUGACACGAUUAAUAAAUGGGUCGUGUUUGGGUUGGGGUUUCUUGACACGUUUAAAAGUUUGACACGACACGAACCCGACACGACACGACCCAUUGCCAGCCCUAGUUUCGACCCCAAAAAAAUAAUUUCUUUUACUGUUAUUAAUUA